UGUAGGCUUUGAAGCUGAUGACUCCCGAGUGGUUUGAGGAGAAGCUGAGCCCGUGGCUGCAUCAGCUGGAGCAACUUUAUAGCUUCGGGUCAAAGGUGGUUGUUCGGGCUCCAAUCGAGAAUAUAGCCACUGAUCCGGUGCUGUCGUUGUCUUCUUCACAGUCGGAGAAAUUUGGUUGCAAAGGAGUUAAAGAGGCGAAUUCUCUUGAUGAAAGAAUUGGGAAAGUCGAUGGUAAGAUAGUUAUGGGUGAUAAGCUCAUAGGUAUUAGAGAUUUGAUUUAAAUUGUUGCCUCUAGAAAAAUGAUGCAACAAAGGAUGAUUAAGCAAGGGAGAAUCGGACUAGUGAGCUUGGAGCAUAGCCAUGAGGAGGGUCCAGUCUAGUAGCCCACCGAGGGCCUUGAGAAAGAUGCACACCCUGAGAAAGAGGCUGAUUCUAGUCAGGCAGAGAUUGCCAGUGAGCAAGUUCCACCUCAUAGUGAAAUAUUUUGUGACCCGCAUGCCGAUAUUUGUUUUCAAGACUUGUGGUCCAACUUUGAUUGAAUGUGAAGGGAUGGAUGCUUUUAUGCAAUUUUGUUAUAACGUGUGUUGCUGCUAGCGUGUCGAGACACAGUACGUUAGGACUGAUGCUAAGAUGUACACCUAGGAGUGCUCCGUCCAAUUCAAGGGACGUAGUAAGAGGCUUAUGUUGGAUUCGUCUGUUAAAGUAUUUAUCCCAGUUUUACAGAAGGAGCAUUGGUGGUGUGCUGCUUUCCAUUUAAAGGAUAAGAAGAUAUGGCUCAUAGAUUCUAUGUACCAGGAACCAGCUCAGACUCACGAUGAUGUCGUAGAUGAAUUGGUAUGAUUCUUUACUUUGCCCUUUAGGGUUGGUUGUUCAUUUUAUUUAUAAAUAUAAUAAAGGCUAACAAGAGAUAGUCAUUAAAGUAGAGGGCCGAAAUAGACAAGUUUUUUAAGCUCCAUGACGACACCUCGGAAGAGGGUGGUAUCAUGACUUGGCCAUCAAAAGUUGUGGAAAUCCUACCUCCGAUUGACAAGUAAUGAUUGUUUAGCAUGUAAUGUUACAUUUUUCAUGUAGAUGGAGCCCCUAAUUGUAGGGUUUUAGGUACUAUAAACAGAUCUACAAGCAUAACACAUAAAGAAUCACAUAAUUCAUACCUUUGAUGCGUGAU